rnacentral:rRNA from 1 species
UAAGACGAACCGUGCGAACGUUGUUCGGAUUCACUGGGCUUAAAGGGCGCGUAGGCGGGUGGUCAAGUCAGAGGUGAAAUCCUCCAGCUUAACUGGAGAAGUGCCCCUGAUACUGGCCAUCUCGAGGGAGGUAGGGGCAUGUGGAACUUCCGGUGGAGCGGUGAAAUGCGUAGAUAUCGGAAGGAACGCCGGUGGCGAAAGCGACGUGCUGGACCUCUUCUGACGCUGAGGCGCGAAAGCCAGGGGAGCAAACGGGAUUAGAUACCCCGGUAGUCCUGGCCCUAAACGAUGGGUACUAGGUUGUGGACUGAUCAUGGGUUCACAGCCGAAGCAAAAGUGUUAAGUACCCCGCCUGGGGAGUAUGGUCGCAAGGCUG